UAAUCCAGCCCCGCCCCCGCCCUCCUCCCGCUACGCCCCCGGCCCCGGCCCCGGCCCCGGCCCCUCCGCACCGAGCGUCCGCCCUCUCUCCCCUAAAGCGCUGGCCCGCAAUCCACCCCAUCCCUCUCUGCAGCCGCAGGAGGUGGCCCCCGCCUGUCCCCACCUUCUCUCCCCGCUCCUCUCGCCACUCUGUCGCAGAGGGGUCCGGCUAGCCACGAGGCCCCGGCCCCCGGCAGCCCAGCCCCUUGGCAAGCACCCUCCCGCCCCCUCCGCCCCUGCCCGUGGCGCGGCGACAUGGGCCCCAUCCAGGUGCUGCAGCCCCUCCUCCGCUGCAGGAGAAAACUCUCCUGUUUUCCCCUCCCUGCCACCCUCCGAAGACCUCCUACCUGGUCCCGGACCACGCCCCCGUCCCCAACUCCCCCAACGCCCCGCGCUCUGCGGGUCCCCUCUCCAACCUGGAGAGCGGGGCAGGACGAAGACCCGACCCGGAGCUUCCUGGAGGCUGGGCCUCCCUCUCAGGCUUGGCCCUGGCCAGGGACACUGAUCCGUCUCUCCCCACGUGUAGAAGGGCCACAAUCCCUAGGGCAGGACUGCUGGGAAACCCCAUCAAGACAAGGUCUGGGGAGGCGGCUUUAACAGACAGAUGUGAUGGGCUGAGGCCAACCCUGUUAACGUCGCAGCCCUGCACCCUUGCCAGGGUUUAAGUUGCUUUGGAGGAAUUACUUCAUUUCUCAGAACCUUGGCGUCCUCAUCUGUAAAAUAGAAAUCGUAAGAUCCAUCUCACCUGUUGCUAAAGGAAUUUAGAAGUGAAGUGCAGAGCAGAGCCUCCAAGAGCAUCGGAAAUGGGAAAAUCUGACCAUAUCAAGUGUUGACAAGGAAAUGGAGCAACUGGAACUGCCAGACACUGUUGGUGGACAUGCAAAGUGCAGUGUUUAUAAUUGCCCCAAACUGGAAACUACUGAAAUGCUCAUCAGCCGUUAAAUGGAUACAUAAAUUGUGAUAUAUUCACACAGUGGAAUGACAGCAAUGACAGUGAAUAAUCAACUACACACAACAACAUGGAUGACUCUCACAAAUGAUGUUGAGGAAAAGAAGCCAGAGGAUAAAAAGCCAUAUUUGUUUCCAUGUGGAUAAAGUGGUAGAAGCUGUGCAGUCAAGAUGCAUGUGCCUGUGGGGCACGGUGAUUCACGCCUGUAAUUCUAACACUUUGGAAGGCCAAAGCGGGUGGAUUGCUUGAGCCCAGGAGUUUGAGACCAGCCUGAGCAACAUGGUAAGACCCUAUCUCUAUUAAAAAAAAAAAAAGACGUGUGUGUUUUUCCAUGUGUAUGCAGUAUCUCAACAGAGGGUUAGUAAGUACAUCAAUGGUCUGUAGACAGUCCAAAGCAGCAUCAGA
rnacentral:lncRNA from 1 species